GCUCGGGUGGCGGAAUUGGUAGACGCGCUGGUCUUAGGAACCAGUUCCGAGAGGAUUGAGAGUUCGAGUCUCUCCCCGAGCACCA
rnacentral:tRNA from 2 species